UUAACCCAAUUGAGACCCUAAUGAAAACCUAAUUCUCCCGUCUCUGAAAUUUCCACCUACCUCCACCGUCUCUCCUCUACCCAGAAAUUGUCUCGCGGCGGUUGAGACCUCCAAAUACCCCCAAAUUUUAAUCAGCCAAUCCUCAUUAUCCCCUCUUUCAUGGCCGACCGUCGAUUUCUUCAAAAGACCACACAUUCUCUUUGAAUUACAGAUCUGAAAAAUAAAAAACCCAGCUUUUCCUCCUUUUCCCAAAUCUUUUGAAUUAAACCUUCAGCCCAUAGCAAACACUUGGUGAGUUACCCAGUCUUUCAAUAAAUUAACUCCGUUUGAACAACUAAGAAGGUUUUCUGAUAAAUUUGGUCAAAUUUGGGAGACCUGGUGUUGGAAGCUUUUCAGCCUUUGAGCCUCUAUUCCUUUCUCUUCUUGGCUUAUGGCGAGGAUUGCUGCAUGAAUCAUUAGCUAUGAACGAAAGUUCGGCUAAUAUUUGUGUCGCAAUUCUCACCGUUUGGUCGAGUUUGUGGAUUCGUCGGAGUUCGAGUAUGAGUCGUCUUUGUUCUUGAAGAUUCUGAGCUUCAAUUGAUAUCCAUUGGUAUUUUCUUUCUUUCUCUCUUUAAGUUCGUUUGGUAGUCAUAAAAUUCCUUCUCCUUUUCUGUAGAUGAAAUUAGAUUUGCUAGUCAUUAGUUUAGUGUUAGUUUGCACUUUUCUUUUAUACUGUUUUAUUCUAAAAAAAAAGAGGGAAGAAAUAAUUAUACUGUCCUAGUCAUGAAUUGGUUACCAUUUCAUUUCUCUACUUUUGUUUGUCCCGUUUUUUUUUAUUGGGUUUGGGGGGUUUAUUAGUAUUAGCCAUUGAAUGGAAAUCCAAUUUGGAGAUUUGUCCGUUGGACCAAGUUUAAGGGAUUGGGUCUUUAGUCAGUUUACCCAUUUGAGUCCAAGAGUAACUUUCAGAAGUUUAAAGGGUAAUUUGGGUAGUCUAGGUAGGAAAUCUUUUGUUAACAACCUUAGAAAGCUUCUUGGAAGCUAAAAAUAGACUUCUUUUGCCAACAAGUCAGUAAUUUAAGGACUUUUAAGCAAAAAUAAAAAAUUUAAAAGGGGCUAAAAUGCAAAAUUAAAAUUUUUUUAGUCUGCCCUACUUCCUUGCCAAUAACUGCAUCACUUCCUUACAUUUGUAGGUAGAAUUUUUAGACCUAAAGAGCGCAGAAGAAGAUAGAUAGAAAACAAAUCCAGAAAAACUCAGAAACGGCUGGAAAUAUCAUAAAACUACCGUUCCAUUAAGUUUUUGCUUUGAAUCUUGAGGUUUUCAUAUUUUGAAAAUAUUUUCUGAUUCAUCUGGAGUGAAAAGAUGGGUUGAUUUUUUAUUUUGAAAGGCUGGUGUGAAGUUGUUCAGUGCUUGGUGUUAUCGUUUUACUUCUUAAAUUGAGCUGAUUCCUGUUUUGCCUCCUGAUUACUAGGCUGCUACUAUUACUGAUUCCUUACCUCUUGUUCCCUUUCAAUCUCCAGGUAUGCUCUUGAAAUUGUAAUGGAGUUGAAGCUUGAUUGAAUGUGUGUAGGAUCUGUGAAUAUGAAUCAGAAUUAAAUAAAAACAAAUCAGUUUCUGUUAUAACUACUUUGUAAUUCAGUUUUGUAUGGAUCAUAUUUAGUUUAGCUUACUAUAGAGAUUUCAUCAUGAAAUACAGUUGAUUUUAGAUUCUAGAUCUAGAUUUCAUUUGAGCAUGAGAGAUUCAUGUUUUAGACUUGGUAAGACAUGUAAUAAUUAUAAACUGUGAUAUGCAGUUUAACUGGCUGAAAUGUUUGGUUUUGAUCCCAUAAUCAUGGGUUGUAAAUCCAUGUUAAUUCCAAUUAUAAGUUACUAAAGUUACUUUCUGACAAUCAUGCUAAAAUCUUCCCCUGCAUAGCCUUAGAGUUUGGCUUGAGUGCUUUUCUUUUGUGAAUGUCUUAAGCUCUUUGAGAAUAAUAGUGGUUCAAAUAAAAGUCGAUUUGGUUCUGAUCUUUUGACAGUUUCAUCUUAAGUUUUGUUAAAUUCCUAUUGAUGGUUUGUGAGGUCAUACUGGUUCAAUAUGUAAAGUUUGGCAAAUACAUUUAGUUUAAAGGUGUAAUUCAGAUUCUUAUUGUUUGCUUAGAUAAGCCUACAUGUUUGUUACUUGUCAAUCACAUAGCUCGAGCAAAUAUCUCAAAUAGCAUAGAAUUGUCUUUGAAUUAGUUUUAUAAAUGGAGCCCAGCAUAAUGA
rnacentral:lncRNA from 1 species